CCUACGGGAGGCAGCAGUGAGGAAUAUUGGUCAAUGGACGAGAGUCUGAACCAGCCAAGUAGCGUGAAGGAUGACUGCCCUAUGGGUUGUAAACUUCUUUUAUAUGGGAAUAAAAUGUUCCACGUGUGGGAUUUUGUAUGUACCAUAUGAAUAAGGAUCGGCUAACUCCGUGCCAGCAGCCGCGGUAAUACGGAGGAUCCGAGCGUUAUCCGGAUUUAUUGGGUUUAAAGGGAGCGUAGGUGGAUUGUUAAGUCAGUUGUGAAAGUUUGCGGCUCAACCGUAAAAUUGCAGUUGAAACUGGCAGUCUUGAGUAGAGUAGAGGUGGGCGGAAUUCGUGGUGUAGCGGUGAAAUGCUUAGAUAUCACGAAGAACUCCGAUUGCGAAGGCAGCUUACUGGACUGCAACUGACACUGAGGCACGAAAGUGUGGGUAUCAAACAGGAUUAGAUACCCCAGUAGUC
rnacentral:rRNA from 1 species